rnacentral:tRNA from 1 species
GUGCCUGUAGCUCAGUUGGUAGAGCAUGGUGUUUGCAACGCCAGGGUUGUGGGUUCGAUUCCCACGGGGGGCC